UGGUUCUGGCAUCGAUGAAGAACGCAGCGAAAUGCGAUAAGUAAUGCGAAUUGCAGAAUUCAGUGAGUCAUCGAAUCUUUGAACGCACAUUGCGCCCUUUGGUAUUCCGAAGGGCAUGCCUGUUCGAGCGUCAUUAUCAACCCUCAAGCCUGGCUUGCUGUUGGACCUUCGUCGUUAAAGACGGGUCUCAAAGAUAAUGACGGAGUCAGUUGGACCCUAGAUGCAACGAGCUCUUGUAGCACGCAUUGAAGGGGACGGCAGCUCCGGUCUGAACCAAAUAUUUUAUCAGGUUGACCUCGGAUCAGGUAGGAAUACCCGCUGA
rnacentral:misc_RNA from 1 species